UACGAAGGGUGCAAGCGUUACUCGGAAUUACUGGGCGUAAAGCGUGCGUAGGUGGUGAGUUAAGUCUGUCGUGAAAGCCCCGGGCUCAACCUGGGAAUGGCGAUGGAUACUGGCUCGCUAGAGUGCGGUAGAGGAGAGUGGAAUUCCCGGUGUAGCAGUGAAAUGCGUAGAGAUCGGGAGGAACAUCAGUUGCGAAGGCGGAUCUCUGGGCAGUUCCUGACACUGAGGCACGAAGGCCAGGGGAGCAAACGGG
rnacentral:rRNA from 1 species